rnacentral:snRNA from 1 species
UUCUUCUCCAGUUGGUACGCGGAUGG